AUGUGGUGUGGUCUGCUGUGUCGAUGUCGAAGUAGUCGUCGCUUAUUAGGCAUUAUUAUUCAUUACUACUGAUAAAAUCAAUUUGACAGACAGUCUGUGGCUACGCCAAAUUAUCGCAACUGCCACAAUUGGGCCGACCAUCCAUGGCAGCCGCAUGUGGGUUAAGCUACGGGAUAAAGCUUCCAGGCAUGAGUGAAAAA